rnacentral:rRNA from 1 species
UACGUAGGGGGCUAGCGUUGUUCGGAUUUACUGGGCGUAAAGCGCACGUAGGCGGAUUGUUAAGUCAGGGGUGAAAUCCCGGAGCUCAACUCCGGAACUGCCUUUGAUACUGGCAAUCUUGAGGCUGGAAGAGGUUAGUGGAAUUCCCAGUGUAGAGGUGAAAUUCGUAGAUAUUGGGAAGAACACCAGUGGCGAAGGCGGCUAACUGGUCCAGAUCUGACGCUGAGGUGCGAAAGCGUGGGGAGCAAACAGG